UACGAAGGGAGCUAGCGUUGUUCGGAAUCACUGGGCGUAAAGCGCACGUAGGCGGAUUUGUAAGUCAGGGGUGAAAUCCCGGGGCUCAACCUCGGAACUGCCUUUGAUACUGCAAAUCUCGAGUCCGGGAGAGGUGAGUGGAACUGCGAGUGUAGAGGUGAAAUUCGUAGAUAUUCGCAAGAACACCAGUGGCGAAGGCGGCUCACUGGCCCGGUACUGACGCUGAGGUGCGAAAGCGUGGGAGCAAACAGG
rnacentral:rRNA from 1 species